GUAGUGAAAGCCGCGCCGGGGUGCCCGUAGGAAAGGUCCGGUGCGGUGAAGGUGGGUGAUCUCCGCCCUUGCCGGGGCGGGGUGCCAUCAAGGCGGUCGGCGUCCGGGAGUUAACGGCUCCGUGGGCGCCGCCG
rnacentral:ncRNA from 1 species